UUAAUGUCCAGGAGAGUGGCCCUCCGCAUGGAGGGUUGACUAGAGAUUUAUCGGUAUGGGAUGAGCUUGCGUCCGAUUAGCUAGUUGGCGGGGCAACGGCCCACCAAGGCGACGAUCGGUAGCCGGCCUGAAAGGGUGAUCGGCCACAUUGGGACUGAGAUACGGCCCAGACUCCUACGGGAGGCAGCAGUAGGGAAUAUUGCACAAUGGGGGAAACCCUGAUGCAGCAACGCCACGUGUGGGAAGAAGCAUUUCGGUGUGUAAACCACUGUCAUGAGGGAAUAAGGCCCGCCUCCGGGCGGGAUUGAAUGUACCUUGAGAGGAAGCACCGGCAAACUUCGUGCCAGCAGCCGCGGUAAUACGAGGGGUGCAAGCGUUGUUCGGAAUUACUGGGCGUAAAGGGAGCGUAGGCGGAGAUUCAAGCGGAUUGUACAAUCCCGGGGCCCAACCCCGGCUCUGCAGUCCGAACUGGAUCUCUUGGAUAGUUCAGGGGCAGGCGGAAUUCCUGGUGUAGCGGUGGAAUGCGUAGGGAUCAGGAAGAACACCGAUGGCGAAGGCAGCCUGCUGGGGACUUAUCGACGCUGAGGCUCGAAAGUGCGGGUAGCAAACAGGAUUAGAUACCCUGGUAGUCCGCACCGUAAACAAUGCAUACUGGGUGUCCGGGGGUUCCCCCGGGUACCGUAGCCAACGCGUUAAGUAUGCCGCCUGGGGAGUACGUACGCAAGUAUGAAACUCAAAGGAAUUGACGGGGGCCCGCACAAGCGGUGGAGCAUGUGGUUUAAUUCGAAGCAACGCGCAGAACCUUAC
rnacentral:rRNA from 1 species